AUCGACACUGUCAGCAAGCCCGGCGUGAAAAUAUUCCGAAAGAAAACCUAAAAGGAUUGCAAACACUGUGCUGAUGAAUUCAAAAUAGAGUUAACCAGCCGAACUUUGAAUAGUUAAUAUAAUAAAAGUGGAUUUCCUCAGGUAGCUUGAGUUUGCAUAAGCUUAUAUGGAAUUCAGUUGCAACAAAGGGACCAAUUCCAUUAAAACAUGAACAGAAGCAAAUGAUAAAGCGGAGAUUGGUUCUUAGUUUCUUCGGUGGUGGAUCUGUUGUAUAUUGAAGAAUCAAAUGUUACCUUGAUUCGACAGGUAAUUUGCUUCCCCAUACUAGUAAUGAAUCAUUUAAUCGGCCGAAGAAACUUUUGCAUGAUUCAUUUUUCUUCUCAAGUGGAUCCUGAAAGAUGAAGUAAUGCUGCUUUCAUUCACAUAUCUUCAAAGAAAUGUUACAGUAGCUGAAGAAAGGGUUCAUACCAAAUCAUCCAUUGCACUUUCUUCUUGCAUUGAGUUCUUUAGAAUGUAGAAAUCAAUAUAUAUUCCGGCACCAAGGUCCCAGUCAGCAAUUUCAGAUUUAUGAUUCUCCAAGGCACUUGUGAUCUCCCAGAUCUCCUGAUGGUUUGCUGAACCAAAUAUGGAGAAAUAAAUUGAUUUCAUACUAAUAUCGCAGCACCAAGAAUGACAUGUUUAUAUUGAAAAAAAAACAGAAGGGAAAUGAAAAGGACACCUCCACCAAGCAUAUAAACAAAUAGAUAAUGAAGAGAAAAGGAAUAGUAAAUUUAUUGAACAAGCUCAAUUUCUGGUAAAGUACAUUUAUGCAAGUUUUCAAAAAAAAAAGCACAGUUAUGCACAGGAAAUAUAUUGAAUCAAGGUAUUCACUAAAAUAUUUGUUCAGUGCACUGUAAAGGAAAACUUACAUGACAGAAACAUAGUAUGAGCAACAGAGGUCAUGAAAAUAGUAUGAGCCUUCUUCCAAUUGCCACACCGAAUAUAAUUCUCCAGUGCACCCUGACGAUCUCCAUAGUAUUCAUGAUAAAGAGCCUGUAUAUAGAGCUCAUUAGCUAAACAUGCUUCAUGUGUAAUGUUUCUAUUUUUAACCAACUGGCAUCACAAAAUAUUUGCAAUGCUUUUUAAGGGCCACAUACUCAGCAAAUAUGAGCAUUACAUAAUUUGUGAUAAGCCAAAAAAAACACUCACCAGAGCUUCAUGCAUCCAUUCUUCUGGUAUACCAAGUUCCACAAUGUAUUGCCUUUGAGCGUCAUCUUUACUCCAUGACUCACAAUACUGUGACAAAACUUCCCUGAUUAACUUCUCAUGGAUGUAUGGGGCGUCAUCAAGAUAUGGCAUGUGUAGAAUGACAUAGAUAGCCCAAUGGCACUUCCCAAGACAAAGUAAUUGAUAAACAAAACUCAAAUCCAGCAAGUGAAGAUCAUCUGAACUGAAAGCACCAAUAGCUUCCAAAAUUGAACGUUGAUGCCAUAUCAUAUGAUAGUCCAAGGGAUCGUAUGAAGAUGAGAAUGCACUGAACAUAGUUUUUAGCAGCCCAAACUUCUCAUCUUGAUUGGCAUGAAGAAGCAUUAGGUAAAAAGAGAUAUCAAAACGGUCACCUGGGGACCACUGAAGUGCUUCAUCAAGUGGUCCUUCAUCUAUAUAUACAGGAACAGGGUAGGGAACUUUGCCCUCAGUAAGGAGAUGGUAAUAGGAAUGAAUUAUAAUAUCAAGGGAUGUAUCAGGCUGUAAUUGAUACCACAUGAUCAAACCAAGGUACCUUUUCCAGUCGAUUGGUGAAUCUAGGAAAGCAGCCUGUAUGUUACCAGCAAGCAACUCAUAUACCUUCAACCUGUCUUCCUCGAUAUAAUUAAAAUCCAGGCCAUUCAUUUUCCAUAGAUCCAGUUGUUGAGAAAGGUCAGAUCGAUUUGACAUUGAUCCACCUGCCUGACUUAGCAAGAUAGCCAACCGGACAUCACCCCUUGAGGCAGCAACUUCUGCAGCUGAGUCCAAUUGUCGACCAGUCAAAAGAAGAAGAAUAAGCUCCAAGUACCUGGCAUCACUUAAGGAACCCACCUCGCCUUGCACCCGAUGGCAAACACUGUCCUGCAACCAAUUGCUAAAGUCUGCUCUCCUAACCAAAGGGAGUGCUUCAAGAUCUAUGUUGACAGAACCUUCUUUCCUGUCUAAAACCAUGCCUUCCUGACCAUCAUCUCUUGUGGGCUCCAACUGGUUUCCAUUUGCUCUUUCUGAGAACAAGACCCUAAUUAACUCCCAGACUGUAACUUGAUGCAUUAACAGCACGCGCGAAGACAUAGAUAAAUCACUGAUUUCGAGCUGCCUUUCAAUGAUGUCAAUAUAUGACCUGCAGAUGUCUGGCAAAACCAAACGAUUUGCCACAACUUUCUGAAGCUUUAGUCUGAACAAGUCAGAUUCAGUCUCCAGAAAUUCAUGAUCAAGACUCUUGUGGAGGUCCAUUGGAUCAGAGAAGACUAGUUCUGCUAGGUCCUCCUUAAUCUUGUUCUUAUCAUCACGCACAACUUUGUCACUUGCAACUUUCUCUAUGUGAAUAACCGAAGAUAGGCCAGUUCUUGGACUAUUGACCAGACUACCUGAAUGAACAAGCAUACCAUUUGGUCCCCAACCAACACGAAACGAUCUACCCAUUAAUAAAGCAGCAUCCACUACACAAUUAGUAUACAUUUUUCCAGCAACAGGAGUUUCUUGCUCAGCUUGAAGCUUAAAGCCUUUAACCUUGGUCAUUUUCACUGGAAAUCCUUUGUUUUGCCCAGACAUAAGCAUACCCUGAGUCGAUGGACCAAGCUCUGAAGAAUUCAUACUGUAUUCCAAAAGAGCGAGUGGUUCUUUCCGAGCAGGCAUAGACCUCCUGCCAACCUUCUGAGAAGACAUGUGCAAGGGUGAGACAGACCUUAACCUUGAACCUUUACCACUUGAAGUGGGUGAAUCAACAUUCAUCCUUUCUCUGCUAAGGUACCUCUCAUCAGAUGGGAACCCAUCCUCCAUAUAUUCAUCAUCUUCCUCGUUGUAAAACAUAGCCAUCCUCAUUUCUUGCAUCUUUGCAGGGUCAAGCCCAAGAUGAGCAGGCAAUGAAUGUGAAAGCUCCAUUUCGUAACCAUUUGAAGGCAGGUCUCUUUCUCUUAGUUCGGCAAUUGGCUGCCGAACAGCUGCCUCAUCCAUCACAGCAUCUUCUUCCUCCUCGUCCACAAGCC
rnacentral:lncRNA from 1 species